GUCGAAGCUCGAGGCCAUCGCAGGCCAUCGCCAUGUUGCUUUGUCCUCUACCAGCCUGUACCCGUGACCGGCGAACGCUCCAUGCUUCCUGGUGUUUCUUUUAUGUUCCUCACGUUGAAUUUCUGUUCGGAUACAACAACGUCGAAUGUGUCGAGUAGUAGUAGCGUGAGCGCCAGGAUCGUAUACAGAUCGUAUCUCAUUCGUGAAGUGUUACGACGAGCUUGUCACUCGCGUCUUGUUGUCUCGUGCUCGUGUAACGUUACUCGAUUUUCCGCUUGCCUCGCGAUUUUCGUUGUUUCCGAUCGGCCGCGAUUAUAUCACAUUUCAUUAGAACUCGUGUGUGAUAUGUUACCCGCACAUCAUUAAUGCCGAAUAAAAUAUCAGGCCGCUUGACCAAGCUCGUUGCGUUAGCCAUGGCGUCAACCCGUCGAACGAUCGCAUUUUUCAACCCGCGUCUGUUUAUUUUCCGUCUCAAUUCGUACGUUUAUCAGUGUAUGAAAACGCGAACAUAAUAAUCGUACGGUGACGCGCGUGUUGCGUGUUGUGUGUCAGCAACGGUGGCGACCAACCGGUCGAGAAAUUUAUGUUACGCCGCGCGCGAUUGCCUGCUCAAGAUUCGUCAUUUGCCGGGACGGUAACUUCCCCGAUGGCGUCGCACUCGCGGGUGUGGUAUCGUAAGUGUUGAACAAUAUAUCGUGCGGUCGACGUUAAUGUGCAAUUCGAGAGCGAUAAAAAGAGAUAUCGUCAGCGAAGGACGGUCUCCAAGAAGCAAUUCGGUCGACACUGAAAACUCUGCUGCUGCGCAUCGUGAGUCAACGCAGCUUCCAACACCUAAACAUGUGUAAGGUGCUUGUUCGAGUUUCGAGCUUGUCGCGCCAUCCAAUAUCGAAGAUUGCGGCACGGCUGGAGCCGA